UACGUAGGUGGCGAGCGUUGUCCGGAAUUACUGGGUGUAAAGCGCGUGUAGGCGGGAGGCCAAGUCUGUGGUGAAAUCGCUCGGCUUAACUGGGCGGGGUCCAUGGAAACUGGUCACCUGGAGGUCGGUAGAGGCAAGUGGAAUUCCCGGUGUAGUGGUGAAAUGCGUAGAGAUCGGGAGGAACACCAGUGGCGAAGGCGGUUCUCUGGGCCUUACCUGACGCUGAGGAGCGAAAAGCGUGGGGAGCGAACAGG
rnacentral:rRNA from 1 species